UACGUAGGGUGCGAGCGUUAAUCGGAAUUACUGGGCGUAAAGCGUGCGCAGGCGGUUCGUCAAGUCUGGUGUGAAAGCCCCGGGCUCAACCUGGGAAUGGCAUUGGAAACUAGCGAGCUUGAGUGUGGCAGAGGGGGGUGGAAUUCCACGUGUAGCAGUGAAAUGCGUAGAGAUGUGGAGGAACACCGAUGGCGAAGGCAGCCCCCUGGGCUAACACUGACGCUCAGGCACGAAAGCGUGGGGAGCAAACAGG
rnacentral:rRNA from 1 species